rnacentral:rRNA from 1 species
GUAGGUGGCAAGCGUUGUCCGGAAUUAUUGGGCGUAAAGCGCGCGCAGGCGGUUUUUUAAGUCUGAUGUGAAAGCCCACGGCUCAACCGUGGAGGGUCAUUGGAAACUGGAGAACUUGAGUGCAGAAGAGGAGAGUGGAAUUCCACGUGUAGCGGUGAAAUGCGUAGAGAUGUGGAGGAACACCAGUGGCGAAGGCGACUCUCUGGUCUGUAACUGACGCUGAGGCGCGAAAGCGUGGGGGGGAGCAAACAGGAUUAGAUACCCUGGUAGUCCACGCCGUAAACGAUGAGUGCUAAGUGUUAGAGGGUUUCCCGCCCUUUAGUGCUGCAGCAAACGCAUUAAGCACUCCGCCUGGGAGUACGGUCGCAAGACUG